rnacentral:rRNA from 1 species
GACGUAGGGCGCGAGCGUUGUCCGGAUUUAUUGGGCGUAAAGAGCUCGUAGGCGGCUUGUUGCGUCAGCUGUGAAAACCCGCAGCUCAACUGUGGGCUUGCAGCUGAUACGGGCAGGCUUGAGUUCGGUAGGGGAGACUGGAAUUCCGGGUGUAGCGGUGGAAUGCGUAGAGAUCCGGGAGGAACACCGGUGGCGAAGGCGGUCUGCUGGGCCAAGACUGACGCUGAGGCGCGACAGCGUGGGGAGCAACAGG